rnacentral:rRNA from 1 species
AUUGAACGCUGGCGGAAUGCUUUACACAUGCAAGUCGAACGGCAGCACGGACUUCGGUCUGGUGGCGAGUGGCGAACGGGUGAGUAAUGUAUCGGAACGUGCCCAGUCGUGGGGGAUAACGUAGUGAAAAUUACGCUAAUACCGCAUACGAUCUAUGGAUGAAAGCGGGGGAUCGCAAGACCUCGCGCGAUUGGAGCGGCCGAUAUCAGAUUAGGUAGUUGGUGGGGUAAAGGCCCACCAAGCCAACGAUCUGUAGCUGGUCUGAGAGGACGACCAGCCACACUGGAACUGAGACACGGUCCAGACUCCUACGGGAGGCAGCAGUGGGGAAUUUUGGACAAUGGGCGAAAGCCUGAUUCAGCCAUUCCGCGUGCAGGAUGAAGGCCCUCGGGUUGUAAACUGCUUUUGUACAGAACGAAAAGGUUUCUACUAAUAUUAGGAGCUCAUGACGGUACUGUGAGAAUAAGCACCGGCUAACUACGUGCCAGCCGCCGCAGUAA